rnacentral:rRNA from 1 species
UGGGGAAUUUUGGACAAUGGGCGCAAGCCUGAUCCAGCCAUGCCGCGUGCAGGAUGAAGGCCCUCGGGUUGUAAACUGCUUUUGUACGGAACGAAAAGCCUCUUUCUAAUAAAGAGGGGUGAUGACGGUACCGUAAGAAUAAGCACCGGCUAACUACGUGCCAGCAGCCGCGGUAAUACGUAGGGUGCGAGCGUUAAUCGGAAUUACUGGGCGUAAAGCGUGCGCAGGCGGUCUUGCAAGACAGUGGUGAAAUCCCCGGGCCCAACCUGGGAACUGCCAAUGUGACUGCAAGGCUGGAGUACGGCAGAGGGGGGUGGAAUUCCGCGUGUAGCAGUGAAAUGCGUAGAUAUGCGGAGAAAGACCGAUGGCGAAGGCAGUCCCCUGGGCCUGUACUGACGCUCAUGCACGAAAGCGUGGGGAGCAAACA